rnacentral:rRNA from 1 species
UACGUAGGGGGGCAAGCGUUGUCCGGAUUCAUUGGGCGUAAAGAGCGUGUAGGCGGCCAGGUAGGUCGGUUGUGAAAACUGGAGGCUCAACCUUCAGAGGUCGACCGAAACCAUCUGGCUAGAGUCCGGGAGAGGAGAGUGGAAUUCCUGGUGUAGCGGUGAAAUGCGCAGAUAUCAGGAAGAACACCCGUGGCGAAAGCGGCUCUCUGGGCCGAUACUGACGCUGAGGAGCGAAAGCGUGGGGAGCGAACAGG